rnacentral:misc_RNA from 1 species
UGGAGGACACCCCUUUUUCAAUAGAGCAUGUUUCUUUAUUCAUGGUUUUGUUUAUCAGUUUGAUUGCAUGUAUUACUUCAUGGGCCUUGGCAUUUUAAUCUCUUAUCUUUUAAAUAGAAUAACUUUUUAGUCCAUCACUAAUGAAACAACAUUUUAGUCUUUCACUUUUCAAUUCUAAGUAUUACAGAAGUUGUUUUGUUUACAUUGAAG